CUAGAGAUGUUAUUUCCUGUCCAUUCCCAAAGCCAGGGUCUCCUUUUUCAUUCAUUCAUUCAUUCAUUCACUCAUUCAUCAUUCACUUAUUUGUUUAUGUUAGCAAUACACAAUGUUUACAUUCUCUGUGUCAAUUUGGUACAUGUACAUUACACACUUUAAUUCCUUUUUCUGCCUCUUUCCUUCCCUUCUUUCUCCCUCCCAUUAGUGCCUUCAUGCUCUGACAGCCAGACUCUGACCAGGACCACCAGUCUUCAGAGAGGUAGUGGAGAGAGCUGACUACAAACCUGCCCUGCUGUGCACCUUGGUCGAAGUUCUUCCACCCUUAAUUUGCUGCCUCUGACUCCUUGCUAUCCGGCUCUUCCACACUUGAUAGGCAUUGAGGAUGCUUUGUGUCUUCUUUGUCCAUAGUUCUCUGGCUCCAGGGAAGGAUGGCACAGCAAUGAGGCAUGGGAGAAUAGCUGCUCAUGACAUGGCUGCUGAAAGCAGAGAGAGAGAGAGAGAGAGAGAGAUAUCAAGGAAGGAUCCAGGGAGGGAGGGAGACCCUCCCAGCUUCCAGUGACUACCUCUUCACAUCAGACCCGUCCUCACCGCGAGUCGGCUGUAAACACCGUAAUCCAACCACUUCCCCAAAGC
rnacentral:lncRNA from 1 species